GCGGGUGUAACUCAGUUGGUAGAGUACAAGCUUCCCAAGCUUGGGGUCGCGGGUUCGAAUCCCGUCGCCCGCUCCA
rnacentral:tRNA from 2 species